rnacentral:rRNA from 1 species
UACGAAGGGGGCUAGCGUUGCUCGGAAUUACUGGGCGUAAAGUGUGCGCAGGCGGCCGAGCAAGUCGAGUGUGAAAUCCCCGAGCUUAACUUGGGAAUUGCGCUCGAAACUACUUGGCUGGAGUGUGGCAGAGGAAGGUGGAAUUCCACGUGUAGCGGUGAAAUGCGUAGAGAUGUGGAGGAACACCGAUGGCGAAGGCAGCCUUCUGGGCCAACACUGACGCUCAUGCACGAAAGCGUGGGGAGCAAACAGG